GUUUGUACUGGAGGAUGCUCAAAAUUGGCAUCAAUGGCUAGACCCUCUGUUGUUUGCGGUGCGGGAAGUUCCUCAGGCUUCCACAGGGUUUUCCCCGUUCAAGUUGCUCUAUGGGCGCAGGCCCAGGGGCGUCCUGGACCUCAUUAAAGAAAACUGGGGGGAGGGGUCCAGCGACAGUAAAAACGAAAUCCAGUACGUCAUGGACUUGCGUGCAAAGCUCCACUCACUCGGGGUAAUGUCACGUGAGCAUUUGCACCAAGCCCAGGAGAAUCAGAAACGCCUGUACGACAGAGGGACUAGAUUAUGCAAUCUUACACCGGGGGAUAAGGUCCUCGUUCUGCUGCCCACCUCUAGCACCAAAUUACUCGCAAAGUGGCAAGGUCCCUUUGUGGUCACACGGCGAGUCGGGGACGUGGAUUACGAGGUAGUGCGGCCGGACCGGGGCGACUCCCGACAGAUCUACCACAUCAAUCUGCUCAAAAGGUGGAUUGAUGUGGUCCCGGUCGCGUUCGCCACGACACUACCGGAGGGAGAGAAGUUCGGACCGGAAGUCCCUACUCCGGGGCCUGUCCGACCGGUCGGCCGAGGAGAGGAUCUGUCGGGGAGUCAGGCGGCGGACGUGGGCAGUCUACAGCUCCAGUUCCAGUUCGCCGAUGUCUUUUCGCCCCUGCCUGGUCGCACCCCGUUAAUAACUCACAACAUCGAGACGAAACCCGGGUUAACGGUGCGGACACGUCCCUACAGGCUGCCCGUCCACAAGCAAGACGUGGUACGGCGCGAAUUGGCAGCAAUGUUAGAGUUGGGCGUCGUCGAAGAGUCCCACAGUGACUGGUGCAGUCCCGUCGUGCUGGUGGGGAAGCCGGACGGGUCUGUCUGGUUCUGUGUCGACUACCGUAGGGUGAAUGCGGUGAAAGUUCGAUGCCUACCCAAUGCCUCGGAUCGACGAGCUAGUGGCCCGGCUUGGCAUGGCCACGUAUUAUACGACCCUGGACUGCACGAAGGGCUACUGGCAGAUUCCGUUGUCUCCAGCAGCCUGAGAAAAAACUGCGUUCUCCACUCCGCUCGGUCUUUACCAGUUCAAGGUGCUUCCGUUCGGGUUGUUCGGGGCCCGGCCACGUUUCAGCGACUGAUGGACCGUGUGUUACGGCCUCAUGCUGCAUAUGCUGCUGCCUACAUUGACGACAUCGUCAUCUUUGGUGACGAGUGGGGGCAGCAUGUGCAGCAGGUGGCGGCCGUUCUUCAGUCGCUGAGACGGGCGGGGCUCACGGCCAACCCGAAGAAGUGCGUGAUCGGGCGGAGGGAGAUUCAGUAUCUGGGGUUCCACCUGGGGCGGGGGAAGGUCCGGCAUCAGGUCGGUAAGACCGUGGCGGUCGCCGCCUCCCCUCGACCCAGGACCAAGAAGGAGGUGAGGCGGUUCCUGGGGCUGGCGGGUUACUAUCGGCAGUUCUGAACUUCUCCGACCUGGCCAGCCCCUUGACCGACCUCACCCGGAAGAGGGACCCAGAUACAGUCCAGUGGUCGGAGCCAUGCCAGGUGUCGUUUGAGGCUAUUAAAACAGCCCUCUGUGGGGAAGCAGUCCUGUGUGCUCCUAAUUUUGCUCUCCCUUUCUCCGUCCAGG
ensembl:lncRNA